AUUGAACGCUGGCGGCAGGCUUAACACAUGCAAGUCGAGCGGAGUGAUGGUGCUUGCACUAUCACUUAGCGGCGGACGGGUGAGUAAUGCUUAGGAAUCUGCCUAUUAGUGGGGGACAACAUCUCGAAAGGGAUGCUAAUACCGCAUACGUCCUACGGGAGAAAGCAGGGGAUCACUUGUGACCUUGCGCUAAUAGAUGAGCCUAAGUCGGAUUAGCUAGUUGGUGGGGUAAAGGCCUACCAAGGCGACGAUCUGUGGCGGGUCUGAGAGGAUGAUCCGCCACACUGGGACUGAGACACGGCCCAGACUCCUACGGGAGGCAGCAGGGGGGAAUAUUGGACAAUGGGGGGAACCCUGAUCCAGCCAUGCCGCGUGUGUGAAGAAGGCCUUAUGGUUGUAAAGCACUUUAAGCGAGGAGGAGGCUCUUUUGGUUAAUACCCAAGAUGAGUGGACGUUACUCGCAGAAUAAGCACCGGCUAACUCUGUGCCAGCCGCCGCCGUAA
rnacentral:rRNA from 1 species